rnacentral:rRNA from 1 species
UACGUAGGGGGCAAGCGUUGUCCGGAAUCAUUGGGCGUAAAGCGCGUGUAGGCGGCUCGUUAAGUCUGCUGUGAAAGUCCAGGGCUCAACCCUGGAAGGCCGGUGGAAACUGUCGGGCUAGAGUCCGGAAGAGGAGAGUGGAAUUCCUGGUGUAGCGGUGAAAUGCGCAGAUAUCCGGAAGAACACCUAUGGCGAAGGCAGCUCGCUGGGACGGUACUGACGCUGAGACGCGAAAGCGUGGGGAGCGAACAGG